rnacentral:tRNA from 1 species
GGGGAUUUAGCUCAGUGGUAGAGCACUUGCCUAGCAAGCGAAAGGCCCUGGGUUCGGUCCUCAGCUCCA